ACCAUGAGGCCAACUAUUGUGACCAUCAUGUGUCUUGCGCUGAUAUGUAUUUUUUCGGUGGCGUAUGGUAGAAGAUGCCAAAAAUGUCCAAAGUAUGAUACCAAUCAAAAGAAGUUAUGUCGGGCUACUUUCGCAACAAGAGGAAUAAUCGAAAGCCAGAGACCCUUGGUCGAUAAAAUUGAAUACACAGUGAAGCCGAAUUAUAAUUUUGUGAUUAAGCUCCCACGUAUCAUUAAAGUUCUUUCUCCGACAAAUUCAUGUGGAGUGUUUUUAUCAACAGGGUAUGAAUAUUUAAUAUCAGGAGUGAAAUCACGAUAUGGAAAUACUUACGAAACACAUAACUGCUUUUGGAAUGAUCAAUGGAUUGAUAUUCCAGCAAAUACACAAACUGAACUCAUAAAUGGAAAAAUGUAUGCUAAAUGUAAUUCAUAAUGCGACAUUUAAAUGUUAUAAGCAUUUCUAUUGAUUUACAAUAAUAACUUAUAGCAUAUGCACAAUAAAUGAUUUCUAAGCAGUA